rnacentral:rRNA from 1 species
AUUGAACGCUGUCGGCAUGCUUUACACAUGCAAGUCGAACGGCAGCGCGGGGCAACCUGACGGCGAGUGGCGAACGGGUGAGUAAUACAUCGGAACGUACCCAGAAGUGGGGGAUAACGUAGCGAAAGUUACGCUAAUACCGCAUACGUUCUACGGAAGAAAGUGGGGGCUCGCAAGCCCUCAUGCUUAUGGAUCGGCCGAUGUCUGAUUAGCUAGUUGGUGAGGUCAAGGCUCACCAAGGCGACGAUCAGUAGCUGGUCUGAGAGGACGAACAGCCACACUGGGACUGAGACACGGCCCAGACUCCUACGGGAGGCAGCAGUGGGGAAUUUUGGACAAUGGGCGCAAGCCUGAGCCAGCAAUGCCGCGUGAGUGAAGAAGGCCUUCGGGUUGUAAAGCUCUUUUGUCAGGGAAGAAACGGCUGGGGUUAAUACCCCCGGCUAAUGACGGUACCUGAAGAAUAAGCACCGGCUAACUACGUGCCAGCCGCCGCCGUAAAAC